rnacentral:rRNA from 1 species
AUUGAACGCUGGCGGCAUGCUUUACACAUGCAAGUCGAACGGUAACAGGCCGCAAGGUGCUGACGAGUGGCGAACGGGUGAGUAAUGCAUCGGAACGUGCCCAGUCGUGGGGGAUAACGCAGCGAAAGCUGUGCUAAUACCGCAUACGAUCUGCGGAUGAAAGCGGGGGACCGUAAGGCCUCGCGCGAUUGGAGCGGCCGAUGUCAGAAUAGGUAGUUGGUGGGGUAAAGGCUCACCAAGCCGACGAUCUGUAGCUGGUCUGAGAGGACGACCAGCCACACUGGGACUGAGACACGGCCCAGACUCCUACGGGAGGCAGCAGUGGGGAAUUUUGGACAAUGGGCGCAAGCCUGAUCCAGCAAUGCCGCGUGCAGGAAGAAGGCCUUCGGGUUGUAAACUGCUUUUGUACGGAGCGAAAAGGCUCUCUCUAAUACAGGGGGCUCAUGACGGUACCGUAAGAAUAAGCACCGGCUAACUACGUGCCAGCCGCCGCAGUAACAC